ACGAACGCUGGCGGCGUGCUUAACCCCUGCAAGUCGCACGGAAAGGCCCUGCUUUUGUGGGGUGCUCGAGUGGCGAACGGGUGAGUAACACGUGAGUAACCUGCCCUUGACUUUGGGAUAACUUCAGGAAACUGGGGCUAAUACCGGAUAGGAGCUCCUGCUGCAUGGUGGGGGUUGGAAAGUUUCGGCGGUUGGGGAUGGACUCGCGGCUUAUCAGCUUGUUGGUGGGGUAGUGGCUUACCAAGGCUUUGACGGGUAGCCGGCCUGAGAGGGUGACCGGCCACAUUGGGACUGAGAUACGGCCCAGACUCCUACGGGAGGCAGGAGUGGGGAAUAUUGCACCAUGGGCGGAAGCCUGAUGCAGCAACGCCGCGUGCGGGAUGACGGCCUUCGGGUUGUAAACCGCUUUCGCCUGUGACGAAGCGUGAGUGACGGUAAUAGGUAAAGAAGCACCGGCUAACUACGUG
rnacentral:rRNA from 1 species